AACGAACGCUGGCGGCAGGCCUAACACAUGCAAGUCGAGCGAAGCCUUCGGGCUUAGCGGCGGACGGGUGAGUAACGCGUGGGAACGUGCCCUUUGCUACGGAAUAGCCCCGGGAAACUGGGAGUAAUACCGUAUGUGCCCUUUGGGGGAAAGAUUUAUCGGCAAAGGAUCGGCCCGCGUUGGAUUAGGUAGUUGGUGGGGUAAUGGCCUACCAAGCCGACGAUCCAUAGCUGGUUUGAGAGGAUGAUCAGCCACACUGGGACUGAGACACGGCCCAGACUCCUACGGGAGGCAGCAGUGGGGAAUCUUAGACAAUGGGCGCAAGCCUGAUCUAGCCAUGCCGCGUGAUCGAUGAAGGCCUUAGGGUUGCAAAGAUCUUUCAGGUGGGAAGAUAAUGACUGUACCACCAGAAGAAGCCCCGGCUAACUCCGUGCCAGCAGCCGCAGUAA
rnacentral:rRNA from 1 species